ACACAUGCAAGUCGAGGGGCAGCAUGAUUGAAGCUUGCUUCAAUUGAUGGCGACCGGCGCACGGGUGAGUAACGCGUAUCCAACCUUCCGCUUACUCGGGGAUAGCCUUUCGAAAGAAAGAUUAAUACCCGAUGGUAUGAUGAGAUUGCAUGAUAGCAUCAUUAAAGAUUUAUUGGUAAGCGAUGGGGAUGCGUUCCAUUAGGUAGUAGGCGGGGUAACGGCCCACCUAGCCGACGAUGGAUAGGGGUUCUGAGAGGAAGGUCCCCCACAUUGGAACUGAGACACGGUCCAAACUCCUACGGGAGGCAGCAGUGAGGAAUAUUGGUCAAUGGACGAGAGUCUGAACCAGCCAAGUAGCGUGAAGGAUGAAGGUCCUACGGAUUGUAAACUUCUUUUAUAAGGGAAUAAAACCUCCCACGUGUGGGAGCUUGUAUGUACCUUAUGAAUAAGCAUCGGCUAACUCCGUGCCAGCAGCCGCGGUAAUACGGAGGAUGCGAGCGUUAUCCGGAUUUAUUGGGUUUAAAGGGAGCGCAGACGGGUCGUUAAGUCAGCUGUGAAAGUUUGGGGCUCAACCUUAAAAUUGCAGUUGAUACUGGCGUCCUUGAGUGCGGUUGAGGUGUGCGGAAUUCGUGGUGUAGCGGUGAAAUGCUUAGAUAUCACGAAGAACUCCGAUUGCGAAGGCAGCACACUAAGCCGUAACUGACGUUCAUGCUCGAAAGUGUGGGUAUCAAACAGGAUUAGAUACCCUGGUAGUCCACACGGUAAACGAUGGAUACUCGCUGUCGGCGAUAUACGGUCAGCGGCUUAGCGAAAGCGUUAAGUAUCCCACCUGGGGAGUACGCCGGCAACGG
rnacentral:rRNA from 1 species